GGAAAUGUCUGAGCAGGAACAUAAAACAGACCAAUUUCUGCCACUAAGUAGGAGUGGGAGUAUAACAGUCCUUGUUAUAGAGUUGCUGGCAGUGAUGCUACUGUUAAGGCUGAAAAAGACACUCCAUUCCAAAUCUCUCUUUUCACUUGCAAAACAGUAAGAUUUUGAGCUUGAUCCUUCACUUCAAAGGUGGCUACCCCAACUGCUUAACAAAAGAGAAACAUGAGAUGGACGUGAAGAAAAAAAUCAAAUGGGUUACAAAGUGUUAUAGACUGCAGACCCAGAGCAAGAAGGGUGAGAUUUUAGUUCCACUGAAGUUCAGAAUUUUGCUUUUCUAUUGCAGGCACUGAUUUACCCCACCACAGUAAGCCAGUACAAAAAUAGCUAGAGAAUAACCCAAUACAACAACAAACACAGCCAGAAGAAAAUACAAAUUUCAGAAGACAGGACUGAGGAGGUGACAACUGAUUCCAGACAUGGAAAAGAGGUUUCACCUGUGGAUCGCCGUGCACCAGCACCGAGGAGCAAAGCAGAGCAGGACAAGGGGCAGCCGUUCACAGCCACCCCUGGGAGACACCAGAAAGAGACAGAGGCAUGUGAAAUCCCGUGCUGUCACCACAACGCAUGGCACCGAAAAGGACUGCCCUUCCUGCGCUCCAUUUACAGAACCCGAUUUUC
rnacentral:lncRNA from 1 species